CAGGAGGCAAUCUUGAAAUUCUACCUUAAGUUGUCCAAGGUCUGGAGUCUCCCAACAGAAGCGAUGGAUAAGCUUGGCCUGAGGCUUGGGUUCUGAUUUUGUGUCCCUUCAGACAGGGUCUCUGCAAAGAAGAAUUGGCUGCAGGAAUAGUGGUUAGGCAGUGCCACCCACACGUCCUGUUCCCUGCCAGUCACGUUCCCGCCCACGCACGGAGGGCCACGGCUGAGAAGGACGGCAAGCGUUCAGCAGUCCGAGGGAGCAGAGUCAGAGAUGAAGAAGGCUACAGCUGGUGUUGCUGCUUUGAGUUUUCAUGACUUUAGAGGGAAGAUGCCACUAACUGCUCCUGAGGCCGGUAGCCUCCUCCAUCCAGGUGAAAUCUGCCCAGAUUAUCUGUCCCCCUGAAACGGAAGAGAAGGCACAUAGCACAGAAACUAAGUCCAGUACUGAAUGAGAACUAAAAGAGAUCGUAUUAAUUAAAUGAUAUAACAAAUGCUACCUUUGGGGAAAAAAUAAAUUGAAAAGAAAAGGAAAAAUAUACAAAGAUAUAUAAAUGAGAGACAAAAUAAAAAACAUCUAGUCCUGG